UAAGGAAAAAAUGAAGUAUUGAGGUACUUCAUUCAAUAGACGAGCGUUUCUGACUUUGUUUAGUUUUGAGAGAACUAUCUCUCAAUAAUUGUUCCUUGAAAACUAGAUAACAAAUGACAAGACAUCAUUGAAAGUAGUAAGUUCUUUUAAAUUAACUUA
rnacentral:misc_RNA from 1 species